CCUACGGGAGGCAGCAGUGGGGAAUAUUGCACAAUGGGGGAAACCCUGAUGCAGCGACGCCGCGUGGGUGAAGAAGUAUCUCGGUACGUAAAGCUCUAUCAGCAGGGAAGAAAAUGACGGUACCUGACUAAGAAGCCCCGGCUAACUACGUGCCAGCAGCCGCGGUAAUACGUAGGGGGCAAGCGUUAUCCGGAUUUACUGGGUGUAAAGAGAGCGUAGACGGCAGAGCAAGUCUGGAGUGAAAUCCCGGGGCUUAACCCCGGAACUGCUUUGGAAACUGUGCGGCUGGAGUGCAGGAGGGGUAAGUGGAAUUCCUAGUGUAGCGGUGAAAUGCGUAGAUAUUAGGAGGAAUACUGGUGGCGAAGGCGACUUACUGGACCGUAACUGACGUUGAGGCGCGAAAGCGUGGGGAGCAAACAGGAUUAGAUACCCUUGUAGUC
rnacentral:rRNA from 1 species